GUCUCUGUGGCGCAAUUGGUUAGUGCGUUUGGCUGAUAACCAAAGGCUGGUGGAUCGAGCCAUCCCAGGAAUA
rnacentral:tRNA from 1 species